GAUGAACGCUGGCGGCGUGCCUAAUACAUGCAAGUCGAGCGAACCACUUCGGUGGUGAGCGGCGAACGGGUGAGUAACACGUAGGUGAUCUGCCCAUCAGACGGGGACAACGAUUGGAAACGAUCGCUAAUACCGGAUAGGACGAAAGUUUAAAGGUGCUUCUGGCACCGCUGAUGGAUGAGCCUGCGGCGCAUUAGCUAGUUGGUAGGGUAAAGGCCUACCAAGGCGACGAUGCGUAGCCGACCUGAGAGGGUGAACGGCCACACUGGGACUGAGACACGGCCCAGACUCCUACGGGAGGCAGCAGUAGGGAAUCUUCGGCAAUGGGCGAAAGCCUGACCGAGCAACGCCGCGUGAAUGAUGAAGGCCUUCGGGUUGUAAAAUUCUGUUAUAAGGGAAGAACGACUUUAGUAGGAAAUGGCUAGAGUGUGACGGUACCUUAUGAGAAAGCCACGGCUAACUACGUGCCAGCCGCCGCUGUAAUAC
rnacentral:rRNA from 1 species